rnacentral:rRNA from 1 species
CAACUUGAGAGUUUGAUCCUGGCUCAGAACGAACGCUGGCGGCAGGCCUAACACAUGCAAGUCGAGCGAGGACUUCGGUCCUAGCGGCGGACGGGUGAGUAACGCGUGGGAACGUGCCCUUUGCUACGGAAUAGUCCCGGGAAACUGGGUUUAAUACCGUAUGUGCCCUUCGGGGGAAAGAUUUAUCGGCAAAGGAUCGGCCCGCGUUGGAUUAGGUAGUUGGUGGGGUAAUGGCCUACCAAGCCGACGAUCCAUAGCUGGUUUGAGAGGAUGAUCAGCCACACUGGGACUGAGACACGGCCCAGACUCCUACGGGAGGCAGCAGUGGGGAAUCUUAGACAA